rnacentral:rRNA from 1 species
GUAGGUGGCAAGCGUUGUCCGGAAUUAUUGGGCGUAAAGCGCGCGCAGGCGGUUCUUUAAGUCUGAUGUGAAAGCCCACGGCUCAACCGUGGAGGGUCAUUGGAAACUGGAGAACUUGAGUACAGAAGAGGAAAGCGGAAUUCCACGUGUAGCGGUGAAAUGCGUAGAGAUGUGGAGGAACACCAGUGGCGAAGGCGGCUUUCUGGUCUGUAACUGACGCUGAGGCGCGAAAGCGUGGGGAGCAAACAGGGAUUAGAUACCCUGGUAGUCCACGCCGUAAACGAUGAGUGCUAAGUGUUAGGGGGUUUCCGCCCCCUUAGUGCUGCAGCCAACGCAUUAAGCACUCCGCCUGGGGAGUACGGCCGCAAGGCUG